UCUUUAGUAAUUGCGAAUGAACAAGGAUAUGCUUAGCUUGACAAAUGGAGCUAUUGGCUUUGAAUUGUAUUGUGGAAAUGUAUUACCAACAGAGGUGCAGGUGCCAGCCUAUUGAAAUAAAGCGUCAAUGAGGGUGAGAAUCCUGUUUGUCAUGUGCAGCCCUUUGUGCACGGUGUAUAUUUGCUGAGUCACACUCCUUGGCAUUGGAAUGCAAAGUGGGUGGUAAGUUUCAUGUAAAGGUAAACAUGCAAUUGAGACUGAUAGCACACAAGUACCAUGAGGGAAAUAUGAAAAGGACUUUGAAAAGAGAAUUAAAUGAGUUUGUAUUUGCUGAACACAAAGUAAACAGACUUGAUUUGCUUGGUGGGAGUGUUGCACUUGCUUGACAAGAGCUUUGGGCUGUGGGUGUAAUGAUUCUUUCUUUGCAUGCCAGUUUCUAUUUGUACAUCUGAUUACCUUUGCACAUGAAUGAUAAGUCUCCUGUGGGGGGUGGAUUGCAUGUGCAUGUAAUGAUUUGUGUUUUGAUAAAUGUGUCUGGUGUAUGUGUGUGUUCCUGUGCUUGGGGAUGCUUCCUUCCUUGGACUUACAAGCCCUGACACACACAUGCUGGCAAAAUGCUUCUGCUUGACCCGUCUUGAAACACGGACCAAGGAGUCUAACAGAUGUGCAAAGUUUGAAGGUGGUAUACCUUUGUGUGCAAUGAAAGUGUCAGCUGGGAUAUGUGCACCAGCACCCAAUUAAUUAGCGGACAGAGGUUUGAGUUGGAGCAUAUCUAUUAGGACCCGAAAGAUGGUGAACUAUGCCUGAACAGAAUGAAUUCAGAGGAAACUCUGAUGGAGGUUCGUAUCGAUACUGACGUGCAAAUCGUUCGUCAUAUUUGGGUAUAGGGGCGAAAGACUAAUCGAACCAUCUAGUAGCUGGUUCCCUCCGAAGUUUCCCUCAGGAUAGCUGGAGUUGCUCAGUUUUAUCAGGUAAAGCGAAUGAUUAGAGGAAUUGGGGACAGGUUUGUCUUUGACCUAUUCUCAAACUUUAAAUGGGUAAUAUGUAGUGGUUGCUGUAUGGAACUUCUAAGAUAAAUGGCAAUAUUGGGUGGGCCAUUUUUGGUAAGCAGAACUGGCGAUGAGGGAUGAACCUAAUGUGGGGCUAAGGUGCUUAAUUACAGGCUCAUUUGAUACCAGAAAGGGUGUUGGUUCAUUUUAA
rnacentral:rRNA from 1 species